UACGGGGGGGGCAAGCGUUGUUCGGAAUUACUGGGCGUAAAGGGCGCGUAGGCGGUCCGCUAAGUUAGAUGUGAAAACUCUGGGCUCAACCCAGAGCCUGCAUCUAAUACUGACGGGCUAGAGUUCUGGAGGGGGUAGCGGAAUUCCUGGUGUAGCGGUGAAAUGCGUAGAUAUCAGGAGGAACACCGGUGGCGAAGGCGGCUACCUGGACAGAAACUGACGCUGAGGCGCGAAAGCUAGGGGAGCGAACGGG
rnacentral:rRNA from 1 species